AAUACUUUUGCAUGCAAGAGUUAUAAAGAGUAAAGAGGGGAAGUGGAAGUGAGAUUUGGAGAUUUUGUUCAGUCUAGACUAUCCACACUUGAGUAUAGAGGUUCCCAAAAUUCCAGUUGCAGUAGCCUGCCUGGAUAAACAAUAUACCUAUGGUUUGUGCUGAGCAUGCUUGAGUUUCUUGGAGGCUUCUGCUGGCUGAUUCUGAGCUCUGCUUUUUCUUGUAGUUUCUGAUCUUAUCAGGGAAUUGCAGAAGGGCUUGAUUUUGAUUCUUUUCUUCAAGUGAUUUGGGUCAACACUGAAACUGAAACACUCAAUCAAGAGCAUCAUGAUUGCAACGCCAGAGCUCCAAUUCUAGUGCAAAGGGCAAAGGGCAAAGGGUACUUAAAAAGCCCUCCACUGCCAAGUGUUUUUAAGCGUCAUUAAUAUCAUCAAAUUUGACUGCAAGAAAACCACUGUUAUCACCUGCAAAUUCAACUUUACUGAAUUAGGCAAUUCAAUCAGAAAUCUUGAUGAAGCAGAUUCACUGAUUGAAUCCUGAAAGAUUCUUAAAUAUCAAGCUUUCUGAGCUUGUGUUUUGAUGAAGGAAACAAUGCUGGCAGUGUCCAUCACAUUCAGCUGAUGAAAACCACACCAGACACUCCAUUCCAUUUGAGCUCAUCACCUGCUUCAACACCCUUCUCAUCUCUGUCUAUCAAUUCCCUUGCGACGCUCUAACCACUGAUCAAAGCGGGCUCACAUAACAGAAAUUGUGCAUAGCAUAAGAAUUCAGCAAACUACUGUUUAACUAUUGACGAUUCUGAAUUCAUCGAUUAUAUAUUGGCUCCUGUAACAACUGCCAGUCUGCUAUAAAAGAGCGGGUUCUUAGUAACUACUGGUGGAAUCCUGGGUCUGCUUGGAAAUCUAUCAAAGGAGUUGAAAUAGUGACAUCUGGCACGUUCAAAUGAUGAGAGAUGAUAGAGAUGAAAGAAGCAACGUAAUGUUCUGUUUGUUCACUACCUAGGUGAAGGAGCCUAUGUAAGGAAAUGAGAAGAAAUUCUUCAAGAUUUUAAAGUGACAUACAAAAGCUAGAACUUUGAAGCCGUCAGAGGGGAAGCUUGUGCAUGUUUUAGGGUGCCCUUAAGUCAUUAUUGAGAAAUUUGAAAAAACCAGACAUGCCAACCACAGUGAAACAGGAAAACUGGACCCCUUUUUGUCUCUGUGAGUUCCAGAAAACUAGAUACUUCUGGUCUCGGUGUUGAAAAACUGUAUUCAGAUUCAGACUAAAGGUGUGGGCUGCUGCUGCUUCUUUUCUUUAACGGACCUCAUAAAUCUAAUCUGGAAAUCUGUGAAUAUAUAAGAUUAAGCAUCUGAAUCCUGGUUGGAUCAGCUUGACAAUUAUAGAAAUUAGACCUAUGGGUCACAUAUUAAGGGACUAUUUAAA